AUGAAGCUCAACGUGAAGACCCUCAAGGGCACAAGCUUCGAGAUCGAGGCGACCCCCGAGGCCUCGGUGGGUGAGGUCAAGAGAAUCAUCGAGAGUGCUCAGGGGCAGAAUGUGUACCCUGCGGAUCAGCUGAUGAUCAUAUAUCAAGGAAAAAUUCUUAAGGAUGAUACCACUCUGGAAGUUAAUAAGGUUGCAGAGAACAGCUUCCUUGUUAUAAUGCUGUCUAAGCCGAAGGCGUCGUCUAGUGGUGCUUCUACUGCUUCAAAGACACCUGUUAGUCAGUCUCAACCUGCCACUCCACCUGCCCCUGUUACCUCAGCUGCAAGAUCACCACCUUCACAGGCACCUGUUGCUGCAUCUGAACCGGCGCCUCCCAGUGCACAGCCUUCAGCUGUCUCUGAUACUCCAUCUCCUGCAGUAACUGCAUCAGGCGAUGCUGAUGUAUACAGUCAGGCUGCAUCAAACCUUGUCUCUGGCGGCAGUCUAGAACAGACAGUCCAACAAAUUCUUGACAUGGGCGGUGGAACCUGGGAACGUGAUAUGGUUGUCCGUGCAUUACGUGCUGCAUAUAACAACCCUGAGAGGGCUAUUGACUAUCUGUAUUCUGGAAUACCUGAAUCUGUAGAGGCCCCACCUGUGGCUCGAGCACCUGCUCCUGCUCAACAGGCACCAAACCUGCAGGCUCCUCAGGCUCAGGCUGCACCUCUACCACCAGUGCAGCCAUCUGGUGGCGUCUCUGCAGGGCCUAAUGCAAAUCCUCUAAACCUUUUCCCGCAGGGUAUUCCAAGUGGCGGGGCAAAUGCUGGUGCCGGUGUGGGUGCCGGUGCUGGUGCCCUUGAUGCAUUGCGACAGCUUCCACAGUUCCAAGCACUGCUUGCAUUGGUCCAGGCUAAUCCCCAAAUCCUGCAGCCAAUGCUUCAAGAGCUGGGGAAACAAAAUCCGCAGAUCCUGCGGUUGAUUCAGGAAAAUCAGGCUGAGUUUCUCCGCCUGGUAAAUGAAACACCUGAGAGUGGUGCUGGCGGAAAUAUACUAGGCGCACUCGCAGCUCAAAUGCCACAGGCAGUUCAAGUUACUCCAGAAGAACGGGAGGCCAUCCAGCGGCUCGAGGCGAUGGGGUUCAACCGUGAGCUUGUGUUGGAGGUCUUCUUUGCAUGCAACAGGGAUGAAGAACUGGCUGCCAACUAUCUUUUGGAUCAUGGCCACGAGUUUGAGGAACAACAAUAG
rnacentral:rRNA from 1 species